rnacentral:rRNA from 1 species
UACGUAGGGUGCAAGCGUUGUCCGGGAUUAUUGGGCGUAAAGAGCGUGUAGGCGGCCAUACAGGUCAGCUGUGAAAACUCGAGGCUCAACCUCGAGACGUCGGUUGAAACCGUAUGGCUAGAGUCCGGUAGGGGAGUGUGGAAUUCCCGGUGUAGCGGUGAAAUGCGCAGAUAUCGGGAGGAACACCAGUAGCGAAGGCGGCACUCUGGGCCGGAACUGACGCUGAGGAGCGAAAGCGUGGGGAGCGAACAGG